rnacentral:rRNA from 1 species
UUUCGCAAUGCCCGAAAGGGUGACGAUGCGACGCCGCGUGAGCGAUGAAGGCCUUCGGGUUGUAAAGCUCUGUUAGCUUGGAUGAAUGCAAGGAAGUUAAUACCUUUCUUGUUUGACGGUACAGGCAGAGGAAGCCACGGCUAACUCCGUGCCAGCAGCCGCGGUAAUACGGAGGUGGCAAGCGUUGUUCGGAUUUACUGGGUGUAAAGGUCAUGUAGGCGUUUUAGUAAGUCGGGUGUGAAAUCCCUUGGCUUAACCAAGGAACUGCAUUCGAAACUGCUAAAAUUGAGUACGGGAGAGGAAAGCGGAAUUCCGGAAGUAAGGGUGAAAUCUGUAGAUAUCCGGAAGAACACCAUUAGCGAAGGCGGCUUUCUGGUCCGAUACUGACGCUGAAAUGAGAAAGCUAGGGGAGCGAACAGGAUUAGAUACCCUGGUAGUCCUACCUGUAAACGAUGGGCACUAAGUAGAGGGGUUUUAGA